rnacentral:rRNA from 1 species
UACGUAGGGUGCAGGCGUUAAUCGGAAUUACUGGGCGUAAAGCGUGCGCAGGCGGUUUGCUAAGACAGGUGUGAAAUCCCCGGGCUUAACCUGGGAGCUGCGCUUGUUACUGGCAGGCUUGAGUGUGGCAGAGGGGGGGUGGAAUUCCACGUGUAGCAGUGAAAUGCGUAGAGAUGUGGAGGAACACCGAUGGCGAAGGCAGCCCCCCUGGGCUAACACUGACGCUCGAUGCACGAAAGCGUGGGGAGCAAACAGG